rnacentral:rRNA from 1 species
GAUGAACGCUGGCGGCGUGCCUAAUACAUGCAAGUCGAGCGAAUAGACGAGGAGCUUGCUCCUCUGACGUUAGCGGCGGACGGGUGAGUAACACGUGGAUAACCUACCUUUAAGACUGGGAUAACUUCGGGAAACCGGAGCUAAUACCGGAUAAUAUAUUGAACCGCAUGGUUCAUUAGUGAAAGACGGUUUUGCUGUCCCUUAUAGAUGGAUCCGCGCCGCAUUAGCUAGUUGGUAAGGUAACGGCUUACCAAGGCAACGAUGCGUAGCCGACCUGAGAGGGUGAUCGGCCACACUGGAACUGAGACACGGUCCAGACUCCUACGGGAGGCAGCAGUAGGGAAUCUUCCGCAAUGGGCGAAAGCCUGACGGAGCAACGCCGCGUGAGUGAUGAAGGUCUUCGGAUCGUAAAACUCUGUUAUUAGGGAAGAACAAAUGUGUAAGUAACUAUGCACGUCUUGACGGUACCUAAACAGAAAGCCACGGCUAACUACGUG